rnacentral:lncRNA from 1 species
UAUACAUAUGUAGAUUUUUUACACCAAAAGUAUUCAUGGUUAAGGAAAAUUUAGGAUGAAUAGACUUGAGCCAAUUAGCCAUGGUGUUGGUCCCUUUAGCUUCACUUUCGCUUCCGAAUUCACACUUGCUUCAUAAAGAAUCUGUUACAAUUUGAAAUGGUAACUUCAAUUCAAGUCUGUCAUAUUAGCAAUUUAAUUUUCCUAUCCAACUUCCAUGGCAAAGGCAUUUGAAGGAAAAACAUUUAGGCUAAAAGUCAAUACAUAAUGCAUAAUGCACCAGAAAUUAAACAUCAAAAUUAUUAUUAAAAAAGGAAGACCAUAUAUAUUUUAUAUUGGGAUCAAAUAUUCUAAACACAUUAGUUCGGAUACAAUCAAAAUAAUAGGCUAAAAUCAGUUUUAAUCUUUUAAUUUUACGUUCCUUGAAACGGAAAAAAUACCCUGAUUUCCUAUUGAUGGUACGAGCAUCAGACAUAUGAGGAGGUAAACCCAAUACAUUUCGUUGGUUCUCCACUUGUUCAACAUCUGCAUUAAUUCCACCAAUUUUCCUAGUGUAAUGAACAAAAAUAGUGCCAUCUUGAUUCCUACUUCUUCCUUAUCAUGGCAGUUGCACCAUAUGAUGCAGUUAACCAACAUGGCUAACAAGUGAGGGGAUAUGAUGCAGGUCCACUACUGUAACUUGCAGGCAGAGUAAUUGCGUCUUUGGCAUAGUCUGAUUCCCACUAAAACUGACAAACGAUGAAAGCUGUGAAUUGGUAAAAUCACAAAAUGAGAAUUUACUUCGUAACCUGAAGCUUAUGCAAGGUUAUUAAAUAGGAAAAAGGAAUUAAAUAUAAGAAUUAUAACUGUAUUUAUGUGAAGAUUAAAAUGGAGUGUCCUUUCGGGGAUAAAAGAUAAAAAAGAAAGAUUGAAAAUAAACCAAAUUAUAAUUGCGAAUAAUUCUAUAUUAUGGUGGGAUAUGGCAGUUUGAGGACAUUAGCACAAUUUUAACCAUUCAAACAACAACAAUCACUCACACUAAUAUAACCAAUAACUAUGUCUAGAUUAAACAAAUUAUCUUUUUGUCUUCUACAUUUAGGUUUUACUCUUAGCGCAAAGUAAACGACAACUCCGAAUAGCUGCUAUUAUCUCCAAAAAAGAAAUAUCGUUGCAAUUUCUUUGCAAUUUGUUGGUAGAAGAACACAACUCCAAAUUAAUUUAAAUAACUUAACCAAAAUUAAUGUGUUCCGAACCUCACAAUGGGGAAAUCAAGAGGAGAACGGCGAGUCGUCUUCUCUUCUUCCGGCGCCAUAAACACGAUUGUGAAGUCCGCUGAAAGAACGAUACAUAAGUCCGUCUCCAAAAAGCAUAUAAACAACGGU